CAGCCUCUUGAUGCACAGUGCCGUCCAGGCUUCUGCUGAGUCAUGGUUAGUAAUGCCCCACUGGCCAGGUCCAAGUCCAAAGUAGAGUCGAGAGCCACCUUGUGCUGGAUUGACGCACACGUGGAUUCCCAGGGCUUGGGAAGCCGACGCCACCUGGACUACACAGUGAGACUCUGCCUCAAAACAGAACACAAAGUACACCUCAAGGAACCAACAGAAGAGUGCUUGCCUUACAUGAGCCUCGGGUUCAAUCCCCAGUUCUUCAAAACAACAAAGAAGGUGAGGGCGGCCAGCAGACCAGGCUCUGAGACAAGAAACAUCAUUCACAGUGGCUAAGAGCUCGUGUGACAUUGAAAAACGAGGACCACCGUAAACAAAAUGCACAGAUUGGACCUAAUGGUGCCCCUGCCUCCUGCAGUGGCCACACACCACAAAACUGUCAGACAAGGUCUCCUGUAACAACCCAGGCUGGCCAGAGAGAAGAAGAAAACCUUGAACCGAUUCCUUGGCUUCUACCUCUGAAAUGCUGGGAUUUCAGGCGUGUGCCGCCACCCCAGUUUAUA